CCUACGGGAGGCAGCAGUGAGGAAUAUUGGUCAAUGGGCGCGAGCCUGAACCAGCCAAGUAGCGUGAAGGAAGACUGCCCUAUGGGUUGUAAACUUCUUUUGUAAAGGAAUAAAGUUAGACACGUGUGCCUUUUUGUAAGUACUUUAUGAAUAAGGAUCGGCUAACUCCGUGCCAGCAGCCGCGGUAAUACGGAGGAUCCGAGCGUUAUCCGGAUUUAUUGGGUUUAAAGGGAGCGUAGAUGGGUUGUUAAGUUAGUUGUGAAAGUUUGUGGCUUAACCGGAGAAUUGCCAUUGAUACUGGCAGUCUUGAGUACAGUUGAGGUAGGCGGAAUGCGUGGUGUAGCGGUGAAAUGCUUAGAUAUCACGCAGAACUCCGAUUGCGAAGGCAGCUUACCAAACUGCAACUGACAUUGAUGCACGAAAGUGUGGGUAUCAAACAGGAUUAGAUACCCGUGUAGUC
rnacentral:rRNA from 1 species